rfam:Stegodyphus mimosarum contig95945, whole genome shotgun sequence.
GCCUUCGUGGUGCAAUGGUCAGUACACUGAGCCGGUAUUUCAGAGGUCCGUGUUCGAUCCCCGGCGAAGGCA